GCCGAUGUGGCGGAAUUGGCAGACGCGUGCGACUCAAAAUCGCAUUCCUUUGGAGUGCCGGUUCGAUCCCGGCCAUCGGUAUCA
rnacentral:tRNA from 1 species